UUUUCAGGUCUAGCCUUAUAACUGGAGAUCAAAGGACGGGUCCUAUCAAUCCUUGGUUAAUGGAAGAAUCAGAGGAGACUAAGGGGUUUGAUUUUCAUGAAAUCAAACAUCAACAGCAGAGGAUCAUACAAGAGCAAGAUGCUGGAUUGGAAGCUCUGGUCACAGUGAUAGCCAGACAAAAGCAGAUGGGUCAAGAUAUUGGAAAUGAACUAGAUGAACAAAAUGUGAGCCAUUAGAAGCAUGCACCUCCUAACUCAACUACUGCAUAGUUUCAGUGAGUGUUUCUUUACAUGUGCACAAGUGAAGCCCUGAUAAUUGCUCUCUGCCAGCAUAUUGGGUGCAUUUGAUACACAAUUUGCAUCUUAUUCUGUGCCAAAAUUUAUGAAGUUACAAAUUAAAUAACAUACAUCACAACGUAUGUAGUUUUAAGAAUUGCAUUCUGUGUUCUAUAGCAUUGUAUAAAUCAGUCAUGCAUGAUAAUUGCAGAAUAUGAAGGCCAACAAUAAUAUUUUGUAUUUUGCUAUUGCACACUUUCAAAUUUACUUUAUGUCAUACUCCUUUGGUGAAAGAAACAGUAAAAAUUUGGAAGUACUUUGUACUAUUGUGUCAAAAUAUUUGCUACGAAAUGUUUUUCUUGCAAUGAUCUCUUCUCAUAUUUAUUCCAAGAUAUAGCUUGCUUAUUUCAAGAGAUUUUCCUAAACCCUCUAUAUCUAUUUUUAUUGCCAAAAGCAAUUUUAUUAGCAUUGUUCAGUUGUCCAGUUAAUUGUGGCUCCAAAAUGUGUAUUUAUAUGGAAUAACGUUUUGGCUAGCUGUCAAUGUCUGGGAGGUAAAAUCCCUGGAGCUGAAUUGUCAAAUUAUGCCAAAUGACUGUAAACCAUACUUGUCCCUAUUAUUUUUUAUUUCAUAAUCACGCACUUGAAUGCAUCAUCAUUUUAAAGUGCAAUUUACAUAAUAAAAUAGAAAAUGCAACCUUG